rnacentral:rRNA from 1 species
UGGUGGAGUGAUUUGUCUGGUUAAUUCCGUUAACGAACGAGACCUCAGCCUACUAAAUAGUCGCUCGAACACUCGUGUUCGCAGUUCGACUUCUUAGAGGGACUGUCUGUUUCUAACAGAAGGAAGUUUGAGGCAAUAACA